GACGAACGCUGGCGGCGUGCCUAAUACAUGCAAGUCGAGCGCACAAGCUUGGUGCUUGUUCCUAUUGCAUGAGCAGCGGACGGGUGAGUAACGCGUGGAUAAUCUGCCUUUGAGCGGGGGACAACUUUUGGAACCGAAUGCUAAUACCGCAUAAAAACUUUAAACACAAGUUUUAAGUUUGAAAGAGGCUUUUGCAUCACUCAAAGAUGAUCCCGCGUUGUAUUAGCUAGUUGGUGAGGUAAAGGCUCACCAAGGCGAUGAUACAUAGCCGACCUGAGAGGGUGGUCGGCCACAUUGGGAAUGAGACACGGGUCAAAAGUCUAAGGGAGGCAGCAGGAGGGAAACUUCCGGCAUGGAGGAAAGGCUGACCGAGGCAAGGCGGGUGGGGGAAGGAGGGUCUCGGAUCGGAAAACUCCGUUUGUUGAGAAGAAAGUUGGUGAGAGUGGAAAGCGCAUCAAGUGACGGUAACUACUCAGAAAGGGACGGCUAACUACGUG
rnacentral:rRNA from 1 species